rnacentral:rRNA from 1 species
ACACUCCUACGGGAGGCAGCAGUGGGGAAUUUUGGACAAUGGGCGAAAGCCUGAUCCAGCAAUGCCGCGUGAGUGAAGAAGGCCUUCGGGUUGUAAAGCUCUUUUGUCAGGGAAGAAACGGUGAAAGCUAAUAUCUUUUGCUAAUGACGGUACCUGAAGAAUAAGCACCGGCUAACUACGUGCCAGCAGCCGCGGUAAUACGUAGGGUGCAAGCGUUAAUCGGAAUUACUGGGCGUAAAGCGUGCGCAGGCGGUUUUGUAAGUCUGAUGUGAAAUCCCCGGGCUCAACCUGGGAAUUGCAUUGGAGACUGCAAGGCUAGAAUCUGGCAGAGGGGGGUAGAAUUCCACGUGUAGCAGUGAAAUGCGUAGAUAUGUGGAGGAACACCGAUGGCGAAGGCAGCCCCCUGGGUCAAGAUUGACGCUCAUGCACGAAAGCGUGGGGAGCAAACAGGAUUAGAAACCCGGGUAGUCCCAU